UCAAGAGUACGUGAAACUGCUUAGAGGUUAAGCCCGAUGAACCUGAAUAUCCGUUAUAGAAAAUUCAUCAUUAUGAUUUUAAUAUUUUUACAAUAUUAUAAUAAUGGUGUGCAUUUUUUCUAUAAAGGACAUUGUAAUCUAUUAACAUAAAAUAAAUAUUUAUCAUAAGAUCAAUGCAAGAGUUUAUUUAAAUUAUAGUGCUUGCAUUUUAAUAUCGAAUAAAUGCAUUUGAUUUGAUAAAGUGUUGAUAGAUUUAUUUAUAUAUAGUGCUUAAAUAUUAAAUAUUUUAUAAUAGCAUAUUAAUCAUUGAUUUUUAUGUUUAUUAUAUGCGCUUAUAUGAUUAACAAUGCGAAAGAUUCAGGAUACCUUCGGGACCCGUCUUGAAACACGGACCAAGGAGUCUAACAUAUUUGCAAGUUAUUGGGAAUAUAAAACCUAAUAGCGAAAUUAACAUAACUAUUUAUGGGAUUAGUUUUUAGCCUAUUUAUAGUCUAAUAAUUCAAUCCCGGGGCGUUCUAUACAGUUAUGUAUAAUAAUAUUUAUAUUAUUUAUACCUCUAACUAGAGCGUACCUUGAGCAUAUAUGCUGUGA
rnacentral:rRNA from 1 species